GUCAAAUUUUCAAUGUGAGCUAUUACCCUUCAGAAAUUGGCAAAUGCUACAAAUCAGGGCUUGGUUUAUUGUUUUGUUGAUUGUUUAGACUUAAGAAAGUGAGGGAGAAAAUGUAUGUAAUGCUGAUUAAAUGUAAAACUGGGUCUUUUUUUUGGAGAGCUGGUUGUUAAACUUUACUAGCACACCACUGCCCUUUCUCUACAUUCUGCAGCCUUCUGGCACUGUUAUCGACCUACUGAUAUAACCUAAGGGCAUCUGGGCCUUGCUACCCACCCCACCCCUGCACCCUGAGGACUUCUGGGUCUUUCUAUCUGUUUUGCAUCUGACCUUUCUUGCACAGGUUCUAGCCCCUAAUUAGAGUGUGAGCUGCUUAAGAGCUGAGACUUCCUUCUUUUUUUUUAAAUUUUUAUCCCUAGUACUGAGCACAGUGCUUGGCAUAUAGUAAGUGAUUAAUAAGCGCUUUUCAUUCAUUCAGGCAUGCAUCUCUCAUUUGUCUUUCUGGCCACCCACCAUUUUUAUUUUUUAAUUUUUUUUUGCAGAUUGUGGGGGUUUGAGUCACAUCACUGGAAAUCUAUUGGUGCUAAAAAAGAUGGAUUUUAUGUCAGAUAGCCAACCAAAAACUUUAAAUACAAGGCAGUAUGAGUUGUUAUGGGGAAGAUGCCUUGUAAACCUUAAUGCAUUAUAUAAUUGGGAACUACUGUCGUCACCAUAUUUUACUAAGUGGAAAGCAGAGCUCAGUUGAAUCUGGCCCUGCACCAGCUCUAGGCCAUAUGUGGAAUGUGGGGAAAAAAAAGACUGUUUGUAUAUCUCCCCCAACCCUCAAACUGGAAUGGAAUGUUACCGAAGUUGGUUCACAUGCUUUCCUUUGGGGAGUGGGAGGCUGUAAGUGAUUAAGGUUGCUGUAAUCCAGGGGUCUGAGCGUCUUGGCUUCAUAGAAUCUCAGAGUUGGGAGGGAUAUUAAAAGUCAACCAUUAUAUUAACUCAUAUUUCCAUAGCAUUAUAGAACAUACAAAGAGCUUUCCUUGAGACAGUUAUCAAGGCCAAACUCUAAUGGUACCCGAAUUCUCUCUAUGAUAGUCAGUCUUUGCUGGAAGACCUCCAAGGACGGGAAGGUCAGUAAUUCCUUACUAGCUGUGUGACUUUGGGGAAAUUACCUUAUCUCUCUGAGUGUCUGUUCUGUCAUCUUUCAAAUGGUGAUGAUAAUACUAACACAACCUAUUGUUUUGGUAGGCUUACCUUGGAAGUUUUAAAGGGCUGUGGAAAUGAAUGCCAUUAUCAUUAUUAUCAUCAUCAGUAGCCUCUUCCAUUUCUGGAGUGGUCUGACUGUUGGAAAGUCAAUCUGUGACAGGUGGAAUGACUUUGCCCAGUGAUAAAACCUUGGGUGGAGGAGGAUGGAAGGAAGAAAGGAUACCUAUCAAUCAAUCAGUCAGUAAGCAUUUAUUAAGCACCUAUGUGCCAGGCACUGUGCUAAGCACUGGAGACACAGUACAAAG
rnacentral:lncRNA from 1 species